rnacentral:rRNA from 1 species
AUUGAACGCUGGCGGAAUGCUUUACACAUGCAAGUCGAGCGGCAGCGCGGGGGCAACCCUGGCGGCGAGCGGCGAACGGGUGAGUAAUACAUCGGAACGUGGUCCUUAAGUGGGGGAUAGCUCGGCGAAAGCCGGAUUAAUACCGCAUAAAGCUCUGAGGAGGAAAGGCGGGGGCUCCGUAAGGACCUCGCGCUGUUGGAGCGGGCCGAUGUCGGAUUAGCUAGUUGGUGGGGUAAAGGCCCACCAAGGCGACGAUCCGUAGCUGGUCUGAGAGGAUGAUCAGCCACA